AAGAAGCUUGAAAGUUCGCCUGUACGCAUAUCGUCCGCCACAUGUGUGUCCCGGGGACGGACGUUUCCGUGUUUACGCUGGUAAAGGCGACUCUUGGUCGCACUGACGCGUGCAGAUGCAGAUGGGGAAAAACCUGCGGUGGUCCGGCCACAGAUGUCCCUGAAACAGUCGCAUACAGUGAACUCGUUAGUGGACGCGGUCGCCGUUUCUUAUGUCAAAACAGCACUGGAGCGUUGAGCGACCAAAUAUAGGCUGCCUUGUGUACACGACGGAGAGAUUCCCACCGGAGGCCAUGAUGUGCUGCGUGCCCACGGUGGUUCUCAUAGCGGCUGUAGCUGCUUCCGGAGCCAUACUUGCAUGCUUCAAGCUUGGUACCGCGAGCCCGAGGAAGCCGACGCGUGACUCUUCAGAAAAGUCCACCUGCCGCUUGCUGGUUGAGGACAGCUAGCGCAGCAUACUGAGUGUGAAUUGCAAUGGCGUCGCUCAAAGAGUGGACUGAAUAUAGCGUUCCUGAAACACCCCAGCAGGAAAGCCUCAAGCCAUGGAAUGUCGGAGGGCACGCCCAAAGUCCCCCGUUCCAGCUGGCGAGAGGCAACAACAUAACAUGACACGCAACGAGAUCGACCCACUUACGUAAUAAAAGUGUUCGCGUGUAGUGCCACGCAAAGCAAGGUCACGUGUAAAAAUGCGGGCAAAGCGACGCAAGCAAGCCCUGCAG